UACAGAGGAGCCAAGCGUUGUCCGGAGUAACUGGGCGUAAAGCGCACGCAGGCGGCUGUGCGCGUGGGGUGUGAAAGCUCUUGGCUUAACUAAGAGAGGCCACCUCAUACGGCACGGCUCGAGCCCGUGAGAGGUCCAUGGAAUUGCCGGUGUAGUGGUGAAAUGCGUAGAGAUCGGCAGGAACACCCAGGGGGAAACCAGUGGACUGGCACGGUGCUGACGCUCAGGUGCGAAAGCGUGGGGAGCGAACCGG
rnacentral:rRNA from 1 species